rnacentral:rRNA from 1 species
GGAAUAUUGGUCAAUGGGCGAAAGCCUGAACCAGCCAUGCCGCGUGCAGGAUGAAGGCCCUAUGGGUUGUAAACUGCUUUUAUACGGGAAGAAACCUCUCUACGAG